rnacentral:rRNA from 1 species
UACGUAGGGUGCAAGCGUUAAUCGGAAUUACUGGGCGUAAAGCGUGCGCAGGCGGUUCUGAACGUCAGCUGUGAAAGCCCCGGGCUUAACCUGGGAAUUGCGGUUGAAACUACAGGGCUAGAAUCUGGCAGAGGGGGGUGGAAUUCCACGUGUAGCAGUGAAAUGCGUAGAGAUGUGGAGGAACACCGAUGGCGAAGGCAGCCCCCUGGGCUGAGAUUGACGCUCAGGCACGAAAGCGUGGGGAGCAAACAGG